rnacentral:miRNA from 4 species
AAUGGAUUUUUGGAGCAGG